CCCAGACUCCUACGGGAGGCAGCAGUGGGGGAUAUUGCACAAUGGGGGAAACCCUGAUGCAGCGACGCCGCGUGAGUGAAGAAGUAUUUCGGUAUGUAAAGCUCUAUCAGCAGGGAAGAAAAAAGACGGUACCUGACUAAGAAGCCCCGGCUAACUACGUGCCAGCAGCCGCGGUAAUACGUAGGGGGCAAGCGUUAUCCGGAUUUACUGGGUGUAAAGGGAGCGUAGACGGCAAUACAAGUCGGAAGUGAAAUACCCGGGCUCAACCUGGGAACUGCUUUGGAAACUGUAUGGCUGGAGUGCUGGAGAGGUAAGCGGAAUUCCUAGUGUAGCGGUGAAAUGCGUAGAUAUUAGGAGGAACACCAGUGGCGAAGGCGGCUUACUGGACGGUAACUGACGUUGAGGCUCGAAAGCGUGGGGAGCAAACAGGAUUAGAUACCCGCGUA
rnacentral:rRNA from 1 species